rnacentral:rRNA from 1 species
UAUCCGGAAUUAUUGGGCGUAAAGCGUCCGCAGGCGGUCUUGUAAGUCUGUCGUUAAAGCGUGGAGCUUAACUCCAUUUAAGCGAUGGAAACUGCAAGACUAGAGUGUGGUAGGGGCAGAGGGAAUUCCCGGUGUAGCGGUGAAAUGCGUAGAUAUCGGGAAGAACACCAGUGGCGAAGGCGCUCUGCUGGGCCAUAACUGACGCUCAUGGACGAAAGCCAGGGGAGCGAAAGGGAUUAGAUACCCCUGUAGUCCUGGCCGUAAACGAUGAACACUAGGUGUCGGGGGAAUCGACCCCCUCGGUGUCGUAGCCAACGCGUUAAGUGUUCCGCCUGGGGAGUACGCACGCAAGUGUGAAACUCAAAGGAAUUGACGGGGGCCCGCACAAGCGGUGGAGUAUGUGGUUUAAUUCGAUGCAACGCGAAGAACCUUACCAGGGUUUGACAUCCUGCGAAUCUCUUGGAAACGAGAGAGUGCCUUCGGGAACGCAGUGACAGGUGGUGCAUGGCUGUCGUCAGCUCGUGUCGUGAGAUGUUGGGUUAAGUCCCGCAACGAGCGCAACCCACGUCGUUAGUUGCCAGCAUUGAGUUGGGCACUCUAGCGAGACCGCCGGUGAUAAACCGGAGGAAGGUGUGGAUGACGUCAAGUCAUCAUGCCCCUUACAUCCUGGGCUACACACGUACUACAAUGCUACGGACAAAGGGCAGCAAACUCGCGAGAGCUAGCAAAUCCCAUAAACCGUGGCUCAGUUCAGAUCGUAGGCUGCAACUCGCCUACGUGAAGGAGGAAUCGCUAGUAAUCGCAGGUCAGCAUACUGCGGUGAAUACGUUCCCGGGCCUUGUACACACCGCCCGUCACACCAUGGAAGUUGGCCACGCCCGAAGCCGUUACUCCAACCCUUGUGGAGGAGGAUGUCGAAGGUGGGGCUGAUGACUGGGGUGAAGUCGUAACAAGGUAGCC